rnacentral:rRNA from 1 species
UACGGAGGGAGCUAGCGUUGUUCGGAAUUACUGGGCGUAAAGCGCGCGUAGGCGGCUUUGUAAGUUAGAGGUGAAAGCCCGGGGCUCAACCCCGGAACUGCCUUUAAAACUGCAUCGCUUGAAUCCGGGAGAGGUGAGUGGAAUUCCGAGUGUAGAGGUGAAAUUCGUAGAUAUUCGCAAGAACACCAGUGGCGAAGGCGGCUCACUGGACCGGAACUGACGCUGAGGCGCGAAAGCGUGGGAGCAAACAGG